rnacentral:rRNA from 1 species
AACAAGGAUUCCCCUAGUAACGGCGAGUGAAGCGGGAAGAGCUCAAAUUUAAAAUCUGGCGGUGUAUUCCGUCCGAGUUGUAGUCUAGAGAAGCAUCAUCCGCGCUGGACCAUGUACAAGUCUCUUGGAAUAGAGCGUCAUAGAGGGUGAGAAUCCCGUCCUUGACAUGGACUCCCAGUGCUUUGUGUUGUGCUCUCAACGAGUCGAGUUGUUUGGGAAUGCAGCUCAAAAUGGGUGGUAAAUUCCAUCUAAAGCUAAAUAUUGGCGAGAGACCGAUAGCGAACAAGUACCGUGAGGGAAAGAUGAAAAGCACUUUGGAGAGAGAGUUAAACAGUACGUGAAAUUGUUAAAAGGGAAAC